rnacentral:lncRNA from 1 species
UAUUUAUCACAAUGAGGUUUGAGUACCUAUGUAAGAAACCUAUAUGGUGUUCCCUCAUAUUGUUGUUUUGAUUCUUCACAAUGAAAUCCAGCUUAGAACUGGCUAGAGAAAAGACGUGCACACAGGGAGGGGGAAUAUGUGAAGAGAAGUGGCUCCUGUGAUAAUGAAGGAUGGAAAUAAAUUACUCCAGUGGUUCUCUAGCCUGGAUGCACGGUAGAGUCAAGACUGGAAGAGUACGACUGGGAAUCAGAGAAUGUCCCCUAGGAAGCUAUUACAAUAAUCUAGGUGAGAGCUAAGGUGGCUUGAACCAGGGGAGGGAUGGAAGAGACGAAGAAAAAGGGAGAAAUUCGAAAAGCACCAGGAGGAUGAAAGAACCUCCCCAGCAGGUAGAUGAGAUAUUGGGAAUGAGAGAGGCAGAAAUGUCCACCCCGAGAUUCUGGAGCUACUAAGACAGGGACCACUGGAAGAAAAGAGUAGCUGCGUUGGCUACAGUAUGACUUUGGGUCUAAACAAUUUGAGUUCAAGAUGACUUUGAAUCGUGCAAGUAAAAAUGUCAAGGAGGCUAUUGGUUAUAUGAAUCUGGAGCUCAAGAGGAUUGCAAAGUUGGAAUAUGUCAUCAAAUGCUGUUGAAAAACCAACAAAGAUUGAAUAAAAAUAUCCAAUUUGGCAACGUGGAGGUAAUUGCUGACCUUAAAUAAUGGCUUUUUUUUUCCAUUACAUAAUGGGGAUUAAUACUAAAUUGGAAAAAUAAUUGAUUAUGGGAUGGGGCAGGAUAAAGGAAUGGAAACAAGUAAAGAAAACCCUUUCAAAAUGCUAGGAAGAAAAGAAAAGUGCAGUAACUAGUUGGGACUUGGUGUAGAGAGAAUUUCUGGCUCUUGAUUUAAUGGAGAGCUUAAAAACUUGAUUAGAAAGAUAUACUUGUGAGGAAGAUGUUUACUACGUAAGAAAAUAAAGCAUAAUCAAUAGCACAAUAUUUCUGAGUAUGUAAGUAAAUGAAUUAGCCCUAAGAAGAGGAGAGAAAGACCUGUAUUGAGACCAAGAGAGGAGGAGGAGGAUAGAUUGGGUUCAGAUGUAGGUUUCUAUCACAUUAGCUACCCCUUGCUCAUCCGGCCCAAUUAGUCUCAUGUCAUCGAACUAGUGAAUUCAUGUGAAGUUCCGUGGGCUACCCAAACUAUCCAGAUCUCUUCAUACCCUAUUAUGAGAAUAGAAAAAUUAGUUAGCAUAGCCUUAGGUAGAGCAAACCUGUUAAUAAAUAUUUUUCUCUAUUCCAUGUAAACAUGAACUAUUUUUUAUCCUUUUUUCUAAUCAAAAGAUUAAAAAAUCAUUCAACAAUUUAAUGCCCCACAUAGCUGAGGCUGUAUAUUUGGCACAAUAUCUGCAACUGGGGUUACUACAUAGUUGAGCUUGCAGUCAUCUACAGUUAUUCUUCAUGAUUCAUUAGUAUCUGUGGGUUGGGGCAGACUGGC